rnacentral:rRNA from 1 species
GCCUACGACGGGUAGCCGGCCUGAGAGGGUGACCGGCCACACUGGGACUGAGACACGGCCCAGACUCCUACGGGAGGCAGCAGUGGGGAAUAUUGCACAAUGGGCGAAAGCCUGAUGCAGCAACGCCGCGUGAGGGACGACGGCCUUCGGGUUGUAAACCUCUUUUAGUAGGGAAGAAGCGAAAGUGACGGUACCUGCAGAAAAAGCACCGGCUAACUACGUGCCAGCAGCCGCGGUAAUACGUAGGGUGCAAGCGUUGUCCGGAAUUAUUGGGCGUAAAGAGCUCGUAGGCGGUUUGUCGCGUCUGCUGUGAAAACUGGAGGCUCAACCUCCAGCCUGCAGUGGGUACGGGCAGACUAGAGUGCGGUAGGGGAGAUUGGAAUUCCUGGUGUAGCGGUGGAAUGCGCAGAUAUCAGGAGGAACACCGAUGGCGAAGGCAGAUCUCUGGGCCGUAACUGACGCUGAGGAGCGAAAGCAUGGGGAGCGAACAGGAUUAGAUACCCUGGUAGUCCAUGCCGUAAACGUUGGGAACUAGAUGUGGGGGCCAUUCCACGGUCUCCGUGUCGCAGCUAACGCAUUAAGUUCCCCGCC